CAUGCAAGUCUACUUGAUCCUUCGGGUGAAGGUGGCGGACGGGUGAGUAACGCGUAAAGAACUUGCCUUACAGACUGGGACAACAUUUGGAAACGAAUGCUAAUACCGGAUAUUAUGACUGAGUCGCAUGAUUUGGUUAUGAAAGCUAUAUGCGCUGUGAGAGAGCUUUGCGUCCCAUUAGUUAGUUGGUGAGGUAACGGCUCACCAAGACGAUGAUGGGUAGCCGGCCUGAGAGGGUGAACGGCCACAAGGGGACUGAGACACGGCCCUUACUCCUACGGGAGGCAGCAGUGGGGAAUAUUGGACAAUGGACCAAAAGUCUGAUCCAGCAAUUCUGUGUGCACGAUGAAGUUUUUCGGAAUGUAAAGUGCUUUCAGUUGGGAAGAAGUCAGUGACGGUACCAACAGAAGAAGCGACGGCUAAAUACGUGCCAGCAGCCGCGGUAAUACGUAUGUCGCAAGCGUUAUCCGGAUUUAUUGGGCGUAAAGCGCGUCUAGGCGGUUUAGUAAGUCUGAUGUGAAAAUGCGGGGCUCAACCCCGUAAUGCGUUGGAAAACUGUUAAACUAGAGUACUGGAGAGGUAGGCGGAACUANCAAGUGUAGAGGUGAAAAUUCGUAGAUAUUUUGUAAGGAAAUGCCGAUGGGGAAGCCAGCCUACUGGACAGAUACUGACGCUAAAGCGCGAAAGCGUGGGUAGCAAACAGGAUUAGAUACCCUGGUAGUCCACGCCGUAAAACGAUGAUUACUAGGUGUUGGGGGUCGAAACCUCAGCGCCCAAGCUAACGCGAUAAGUAAUCCGCCUGGGGAGUACGUACGCAAGUAUGAAACUCAAAGGAAUUGACGGGGAACCCCACAAGCGGUGGAGCAUGUGGUUUAAUUCGACGCAACGCGAGGAACCUUACCAGCGUUUGACAUCCCAAGAAGUUAACAGAGAUGUUUUCGUGCCUCUUCGGAGGAACUUGGUGACAGGUGGUGCAUGGCUGUCGUCAGCUCGUGUCGUGAGAUGUUGGGUUAAGUCCCGCAACGAGCGCAACCCCUUUCGUAUGUUACCAUCAUUAAGUUGGGGACUCAUGCGAGACUGCCUGCGAUGAGCAGGAGGAAGGUGGGGAUGACGUCAAGUCAUCAUGCCCCUUAUACGCUGGGCUACACACGUGCUACAAUGGGUAGUACAGAGAGCUGCAAACCUGCGAGGGUAAGCUAAUCUCAUAAAACUAUUCUUAGUUCGGAUUGUACUCUGCAACUCGAGUACAUGAAGUUGGAAUCGCUAGUAAUCGCAAAUCAGCUAUGUUGCGGUGAAUACGUUCUCGGGUCUUGUACACACCGCCCGUCACACCACGAGAGUUGGUUGCACCCUGAAGUAAUCAGGCCUAACCGUAAGGAGGGAUGUUCCGAGGGUG
rnacentral:rRNA from 1 species